UAUUAACAGGCAUGAAAUCAGGUCUGUGAUGUGAACUGGCUUUAGGCUCUGAAGCCUAAACAGUGGUUUGCAUUCUGGAGCAAUGCUAUGGCAGAUUCCCCAUACUUCUCCAGCUUCGUGAUGGUCUCCUGGAGGCUGCACAGGUCUGGAUGCCAGUUACAGAAAAUACAAUCUACAAGGAACUCAGAGAACUUCACCUAUGCAUUAGCAAUAUGGUCUCGAAACCCAAGAUCUUUUCAUUUUUUGCUUACACACUGUAUUUCUUCACAAGAUCAUUUUAUACUCCUGGGGGAGUUGCCUUAGUUAUAGCCAGUUCAUCCCCAUUGCAGUCUGUAAGAAGAAAGUAGGGGCCAAAGUGAGCAUUUUCCCUUCUUAUAAGUUUUCCACCACUUAUUCUUGCAAUGUUUAACACAGAAUGAAUGUAUAUGGCCCUGUUUUGCCAUAAGGGGUUUUAUGAUAACUUUUCUUAAUCUUUUUCUGCUGGUGGCACCCCUUCACCUGAGAAAAUGUACUCCUAGGUAUUUAAAUACAUAAAAUGGGUAUUGAAUUCAAACAUUUGUUGUUAUAAACCCUAGAGAAAUUUAUUCUUAAAAAGUUUCAGUACAUAUAAAAUUUUACCAUUUAUUAUAUUCAAAAACAAAUUUGCAUUCUAAUGAGGUUGAUUUAUUUGUUUUAAGAGAGUUAAAUCUUGCUGAAUAUUCGAUAACUUAAGACAUUUUACAGAGAUGAUUGAUAUUUUGAUUUUCCAUUUGUCACUGUUAAGAACACCACUUCAUAUAAAUAUAUAGUAUAAAAUGAUAGGGUUAUGUUUAGGGCCAUUUCAUGAACUGUUGGAAAUUCUUUCUUAAUCCCAUGACAAAAUUCACUUAAUGGUUAUUUAUAAAAUGUAAAUCAACAACUCAAACAGCAAUUUAAAAAAUAAAAAUUCAAACAAAAUCCAAUGCAAAUCUAUACUAAUUUGACACUUAACAUGUGAAGGCACGGCUGUAAGAAAACACUGAAAGUUUCACUGAAGAGAUGCCUCAGUGGUUAAGCAUGUUUGCUGCUCUUGCAGAGGACCUGGAUUUUGCUUUCCCAACCCACAUUGUGUUGUGUGGCUCACAAAGACUUGUACCUGCAGCUAUAAGGCAUCUGAGACCAUCUCCUGACCUCCCUGUAUUAUUGAAUGCAUUGUGUACCAUUAUCC
rnacentral:lncRNA from 1 species